CUACGGGAUGCACCAGUGGGGAAUAUUGCACAAUGGGGGAAACCCUGAUGCAGCAACGCCGCGUGGAGGAUGACGCAUUUCGGUGUGUAAACUCCUUUUAUAUAGGAAGAUAAUGACGGUACUAUAUGAAUAAGCACCGGCUAACUUCGUGCCAGCAGCCGCGGUAAUACGGAGGGUGCAAGCGUUACUCGGAAUCACUGGGCGUAAAGCGCGCGCAGGCGGCCUUUUAAGUUGGAUGUGAAAGCCUAUGGCUUAACCAUAGAACUGCAUCCAAAACUAUCAGGCUAGAGUCUGGGAGGGGAAGAUGGAAUUAGUUGUGUAGGGGUAAAAUCCGUAGAGAUAACUAGGAAUACCAAAAGCGAAGGCGAUCUUCUGGAACAGUACUGACGCUGAGGCGCGAAAGCGUGGGGAGCAAACAGGAUUAGAUACCCGCGUAGUC
rnacentral:rRNA from 1 species